rfam:TPA: Bos taurus chromosome 4, whole genome shotgun sequence.
UUCCUGGUGGUCUAGUGGUUGAGACUCUGCAUUUCCAAUGCAAGGGGUGCAGAUUUGAUCCCUGGUUAGGGAA